rnacentral:rRNA from 1 species
GAGGGCCUAACUGUCUCCUGUAGCCAAUCAAUGAAACUGAUCUCACAGUACAAACGCUGUGAUACACCUAUAAGACGAAAAGACCCUGUGGAGCUUUAAAUUCUAACAUUAAUUAUAAUCACUUAACACUCACUAUAAUAUAAUGUAAAUUUUAAGUUGGGGCGACUACGGAGUAAAAAAGAACCUCCAUACAACACGACUAAACCUCGUCACAUUAGGCCAACAAGCCACAACAAAACAAAAGACCCAGUCAAACUGAUCAUUGAACCAAGUUACCCCAGGGAUAACAGCGCCAUCCCCUUAAAGAGUCCACAUCGC